UACGAAGGAUCCAAGCGUUAUCCGGAUUUAUUGGGUUUAAAGGGUGCGUAGGUGGCCUGUUAAGUCAGGGGUGAAAGACGGUAGCUCAACUAUCGCAGUGCCCUUGAUACUGAUGGGCUUGAAUAAACUAGAGGUAGGCGGAAUGUGACAAGUAGCGGUGAAAUGCAUAGAUAUGUCACAGAACACCAAUUGCGAAGGCAGCUUACUAUGGUUUUAUUGACACUGAGAGACGAAAGCUAGGGGAGCAAAUGGG
rnacentral:rRNA from 1 species